AGACAUUGAGGAGUACUUUGAUUAUGAUGAUGAGGAUGCUAAUAAAAGAGCAAGUAGCUCAGGAAAUGAAGAUUCAAACAUGUGAGUGGAGUUCGUGAGAGAGCAAAUGUUGGAGCCUUGGAGGAGAGCAACGUGUUGGAGACUUGGAGUCUUGGAAGAGUGCAAUUUUGUUAUCUUUAUCUAUGUCUUUAUACUAUAUGUUUGAGGUGUUUUAGCCGGUUGUGGGUAUGCCCAAACUGCACUAGCAUAGAAUUGCUUAGAUUUCCAGCGGAAGACUACACAUGAGGCUACUAUGCUAGAUCAACAAACGUUACUAUGGAAGAGCAUUUUGCAGAGGUUGAGCUUUGUUUGCUGCUCUUCAGGGGUGCGGUAUUGAGAGGUAAUGUCUUACCUUUUGAUUCUUUGUACAAAGAUGAAUUUUCAUAACUAUUUGAGAUAACAAUAUCGUCCCUCUCUUCAUCAGUAUUUGCAUUCACAGAAGAACCAUACUCUUUUUUCAAAAAAUAUUUUUGAACAUCCAAGUUCAGGAGUGCUCUUUUUUAUAGAUGAGACCAGCUUCCUCUUCUCACCAAUCUAAAAGGUAACAAGAUAAAAAUUGAGAGAAUCUGAAAUAUAUAUGUCUUAUACGAUUCAAUACUUCUAAUCCUAAAACUACUCAAGACAGCUUUCAAAGCAAAUUAGAAUAGAAUUAAGCUUCAAGUUCACUCAUAUUCUUGCACAAUCACCAUGUUUUCAUCCUUAAUUUACCUAAUAUUUUUUAUUUGCUUCUAUUUGAUAUAUUUACAUCUUUACCUUUGAUUUUUCUAAGUAAUCUGCCUUGGUAAGGCCUUUCGUACAGGUACCAAAAAUCUGAAGUAUGACAAGAUCAGUGCAAUGAUAACCCUUACACAUGUUGAGGUAAUAGUUACUGAUUUGUUUAGAGUUGUAUUGCGUGGAAUUAGCCAAAGAUGUUGUCUGAAAGGUAGUAGAAGAGUAUCUUAACCAAAGAAAUUCAUUCAUAUAUACAAUCUUCUUCUCCAUUGGAAAGUUCACUUUAAAUCAUUUCCACCUCACUUCACAUCAUACUUUCUCUGUGUACCACAAUUGCAGUUUGAAGACAAACAAUAUUAUCCAUAACUAAAGAGGCUUUUCAAGGAUGCCUUUGUUUGACGGUUGGGAGAAGUCUAUAUUUUUGUAACUUUUCAUGUAGAUUAUGCUCAAAUAUUUUCUCAUUUAAACAAAACAAUUGUUUCCUUUUAUAUUUGCAGGUUAUUAGUUGCAUGUGUUUGAUCGAAAAAACUUGAACUUUCAUAUAUAUUAAGAGUUUUAUUUCAUUUAAUCUUCAAGAAAAUGUUAACACGAUCAUCUUUGUAUUCCAAGAGUUAGUCUUGCACCAGCUCUGAAUCCUCAUGUGCCAUCUGAGGAGAAACCAAAGAAACCUACGAGUAAGCUUAUAAUUGUAUCACCCGCAUCUGCGGUAACUGUUAGCAUAUAUUGUGCCAAUAGUUAGUUAAUUUCAUUUCUUGGACUUUUUUUGUAUGCAAAUAAGGUGUUGGCCAUUUAGUCCACCGUAAACGUUUUUCUCAGUUUAGCUUUUGGUCAUAAACCGAUCCUUUGAUGUUUUUCAAAUUAAUUAUGAUUGGUUUCCAAAGCAUAGUUCAUCAUCUUUUUACAAUACAAAUCUUCGAAAAUCAAUGACCACAACAAAAGAAAAAAAUCACAAACACAGCUCACAUUCAUUUAGAUAGAAUAACAUCAUGUCCAUGACCGACCCCGCGCUUACGCAGGGAUUCCGCCCCUAGUUUAUAUAAUAGCUAACAUUUAAUAGAAAUCGACGGUUGAAUGCUUACGUAGUUUUUAAGCCACUUGCUUUCAGACAUAAUACGCUUGGCUAGUUCAUCGUAUAACAUAGAAGGACCAAUCUGUAUAACUCUGUAAACAAAAUAAAAUGGUAUAGUUAUCAAUUACUAACAACAUCAUCAAAAUGAUAUAUACAACGGAAUAACAUACGUUCAUGUAUCUUGCCAGUCCUGCAUCUUCUUAUAAUCUUUUUUACGCACAAACACCAAGCAGUGAUCAGGGUCAUCUUUGCCGGUUAGAUCUAUCUCUCGGUCAUCUAAUCGCAUCGCUGACAUCUUCAAUGAUUUUGGAGGUUCCAACACAUCCAAUGAAUCUUCGGGUUUAGCUUAAGAAUGAUCAAAAUCUUUAACAAAUGUGUCUUGUGAAAGGUUAUUCAUGCCACUUUCCAAAAACUCUUCUGUAUACGAAGAUCAAUAGCUAAUGACUGAGUCAAGUUUACAAGAGGUAAAUUGACACAUGAAUCAUCAGUAUUUAACUUUUUUUUCUUUUGCAACCUGUUAACAAAUAUAAAAGGAUAUUAUAGAAUAGAAUAUCAUAAACGUCAAGUUCCAAAAAGCAUAUUAAACAAACAAACGUCAACUUCAAACUACAUCCAUUACAUAAACGUCAAGUUUCAAAUACAAAUUACACAUACAAAACUCAAGUUCAAAAUAGAGCCAUUACAUAAAUGUCAUGUUCCAAAUACAUAUUACACAUACAAAAUUCCAAAUACAUAUUACAUACUAAAAUUACAAAAUGUAAUUCCGCCUAGUUCCAAGUUACAACAACAUAGCUUCAAAGACCUAAAUUCCAUCGCGUAGUUCCAAACAUCCAAGUUCCAACAAUUUUUAACGCUUUCUCUUAAUGAUUACCUUUUUCUUUGAUGGAGCUGUGUCUUUUUUGCUCGUGUUAGGACCAGUGUCGAUUAUGCUCUUGGUUGAUAAAUCUUCCCCGCCAAUUCAGUCAUCAGUAAAGUUGUCCUGAGCUAUGUAACCUCAGUCACAAUCUUCCCCAACAUGUCGGUUACAACUGUCUCAAACUGCUCAGUUCUAUCGGAAGCUGUCCUGAGCUGUGUAGUCUCAGUCUCAAACUGCUCGUUUAAUCCGAAGCUGUCUUGAGCUAUGUAACCUCAGUCUCAAUCAUCCCCAACCUGUCCGAGAAAUGUUGAUAGAAUUUCUCCGCAAAAGUCGUAAAAUAAGCUUGUACCAGACCCUCCAAAAACUUUUUCAUAUAUGUGUCAAUGUUCCCUUUCGGUGAAGCAGCUAGAUGGCAUACUACCUUCUUAUUCCUUGACUCUGCUCCUCGUUCUGCAUGUUUUCACCUUCUUGUGUCUUCCCGAAACAUCAGUGGUGCCAUCAACACUCUCAGCAACAUGACUAUUCUCGCCAAUCUCAGUAUCAGCUGCUUGAUCUUGUCCUUCCUCUUUGUCAGUUUCCUCAAAUUCGGAGCUUGUAGCUUCUUUUACUCCCCAAACAUGAUUGCUGCAAUCAUGUUUUCUUUGGAUCAUAUCCAAAACGCGAUCCACUCUUUCAUCUUUUUUUUUCAUCUUUCCUUGCAAAAUCAGUAACCAAAAGGACAACUCCAUCUAUGUGGAAUUUCAUGAAUGAAUGCAAAAUCCCCUACAAAACAAUCAAAUCAUUAGUAGGGUGAACAAGACGAUCAAAACAUUUUUAUAAGAAAAAUAUAUGCAUACAUUUUCUGGAAAUAAAGUCUCAAUGCCAAUGAUAUUUUCAU